AACCACUUAAUUAUCCUUAUACUUAUUUAUACUUGCAGUUGCAAUUGCAAUUGUAAUUGUAAUUGUUGAUUUUUCCCUCCCGGCGACCGCGACCGACCCCGUUAUCAUCUUAUUAUUUAUUGUAUGUAUAUGGGCUGCUAACGCCCGCAAUAAUGAAUGGGUUCGGGUUCUAUCUAUCUAUCUAUCUAACUAUACCUCCCCAGUGCCUCAUACAUACAAACAUCAAACAUACAUCUAUGCAGGAGUGGCCCCGUCUUCCUUUUUUUUUUCUUUUACUUUUUCUCUCUUUUUUCCCUUCUUUUAGACCACUCAGUCCCCC
rnacentral:sRNA from 1 species